AAUAAAGAAAGAAAGGGGAGAAGGGAACGGGAAUAAGAAGAGAAGAUGAGGGGAAGGUCAUCGCCACACCCUGUCUAGUCGUCGCCGCCAUUCCGUGGAGAUACCGCCAUCUUCGCACGAACCAGAGGGUGAUGGAGACGAAGAAGAAUGCACGCGAGAGAGGAAAAGCUGCCGUCAUUGAGGACUUCAUCACUGCCGCUGAAGGUCCCGACUGUCGAGCUCGUCGUCGCCGUCGCACCUCCUAUCCUUGCUGCCGCUGAGGAGCUCAAAGAGAGAGAAACGCGACGAGGGAGGAGGAGGUUGCCUCCGUCGCUGCUAAGCCAUCACUGGCGGGGUUGGGUCCACCCUCGUCGUCAUCAUCAAGCUGCGCGCCACCGUUGCCGUCGGGAUCUCCACUCUGUUUUUGCUGCAACUCGCUACUGUCUUUGUCUAUCUCUGGUUUCUAUCCAGUCUUCGUUGGAGUCCUCUGUUGCCGGAAAAACACUACUGGAGUUGCUGCAGUAUGUUGUUCUUGCCUUGAAACCCUCUCCGCUAGUGUAUAAGUAUUUUCUUAUGUUUGGUUAAAGAUUCUGAAGUAUUUGAUGUCGUAGGAUUGUGUACCAUUUUUGCAUGCUGGGUUUGUGGCUGCCAGAGUUGCUGUUGCAACAUUUUUUGUUGUUCCUCAUAAUAAGAUCGAAUCUGUUUUACCUCAUUUUGCCAUAAUAAUUUAUUCUAGUUUUGCUUAACCUCAAUUUUUGCGUUAAAUCCAAAUUAUGUUUGGUAGGUUGUUGCUAUGAUCAUUGCGGUUGCUUGAAAAUAAUCAAGGUUAUUGCUGCUGCUGAGAAUCAACAAUAAAAGAGAAAUUAUCGCAUUUCAAUUAUGCAAUUCUGAUAUUUUCAGGUGUGAAGGCUUAUUGUGAAGUUUUGGAAGCAUAGAAGAGUUUGUUUGUGAGUUGAGUUGUUGCUAGAAUUUAUUUUCCCCUCGUCU